rnacentral:rRNA from 1 species
GGUUGAUCCUGCCAGUAGUCAUAUGCUUGUCUCAAAGAUUAAGCCAUGCAUGUCCAAGUAUAAACGAUUUGAUACUGUGAAACUGCGAAUGGCUCAUUAAAUCAGUUAUAGUUUAUUUGAUGAUGUCUUGCUACAUGGAUAACUGUGGUAAUUCUAGAGCUAAUACAUGCAACGAACUGCCCCGACUUCCGGAAGGGGCGCAUUUAUUAGAUAAAAAACCAACGCGGCUCGCCGCUCUCUUGGUGAUUCAUAAUAACUUUUCGAAUCGCAUGGCCUCGUGCCGGCGAUGCAU